GCUGGGCAUGGUGGCGCAUGCCUGUAAUCCCAGCUACUUGGGAGGCUGAGGCAGGAGAAUUGCUUGAACCCGGGAGGCGGAGGUUGCAGUGAGCUGAGAUCACGCCACUGCACUCCAGCCUGGUGACAUAGCAAGACUCUGUCUCAA
rnacentral:SRP_RNA from 2 species